rnacentral:rRNA from 1 species
AUACGGAGGGGGUUAGCGUUGUUCGGAAUUACUGGGCGUAAAGCGCACGUAGGCGGACUGGAAAGUUGGGGGGGAAAUCCCGGGGCUCAACCCCGGAACUGCCUCCAAAACUUCCAAUCUAGAGAUCGAGAGAGGGGAGUGGAAUUCCAAGUGUAGAGGUGAAAUUCGUAGAUAUUUGGAGGAACACCAGUGGCGAAGGCGGCUCACUGGCUCGAUACUGACGCUGAGGUGCGAAAGCGUGGGGAGCAAACAGGAUUAGAAACCCUAGUAGUCC